rnacentral:rRNA from 1 species
UUGGAGGGCAAGUCUGGUGCCAGCAGCCGCGGUAAUUCCAGCUCCAAUAGCGUAUAUUAAAGUUGUUGCAGUUAAAAAGCUCGUAGUUGAAUUUCGGGGUUAGUAGGUUGGUCAUGCCUCUGGUAUGUACUGGUCUCACUGAUUCCUCCUUCCUUAUGAACCGUAAUGCCAUUAAUUUGGUGUUGCGGGGAAUUUGGACUGUUACUUUGAAAAAAUUAGAGUGUUUAAAGCAAGCUAACGCUUGAAUACAUUAGCAUGAAAUAAUGAAAUAGGACG